UACAGGGGGGGCAAGCGUUGUUCGGAAUUACUGGGCGUAAAGGGUCUGUAGGCGGCCAACUAAGUCCGACGUGAAAUCCCUCAGCUUAACUGGGGAACUGCGUCUGAUACUGGAUGGCUCGAGUGUGGGAGAGGAAUGCGGAAUUCCAGGUGUAGCGGUGAAAUGCGUAGAUAUCUGGAGGAACACCGGUGGCGAAGGCGGCAUUCUGGACCAUAACUGACACUGAGACGCGAAAGCGUGGGGAGCGAACAGG
rnacentral:rRNA from 1 species